AUUCGGCUGAAGUUGGAGACGAUGACGGGAACCGGCAGGGCGAUGACCAGAACCCCACUCAGAGAACAGAUGGAACCGAAGAUCUUCCCCAUGAUAGUCUUUGGAACCAUGUCGCCGUACCUGAAAACAGAUAAACACAGGUCGGACGGAUUAAAUCCAGUUUUUAAUCCGAUCAUCUGAGCUGCCAUCCACUUCUUCUGUCUGCUUUGUGAAUAACGAGCUGCCGGUGACACAAACUCGAUGACUUUUUCAGCCGAUCAGCAGAAAGCGAGGCUGACGCAGCGUUUUCAGCCUCCAGAAUGUGCUGCAGUUCCUCCUGAGGCCACCUGGAGGCGCCAGAGAUCCGCAGCAGCAGCUUUAACCUGCAGUAAAAACAUCCAUCACCUCCUCAGAGUCCAGAAAGGAAGCCUCUGGCCUACUUUCACUGGCCUCCAUCUCCCAGAAUGCUCAGCGUCCAUCCAACAGGAAACUGAUCUGGAGUCAGUUUAUCAAUGUUUACAGGCUUCUUCUGUUUCUGGACAUCUUUUGGUUUCAUUUUCAUUCUCUUAGUAAAAAUACUUUAACUGAACAUUAAUCCAUCGACCUCCAACUGUUCAGUCACUUCUAAUAAAAACUGAUUAAAUUCUGUGAUUUCAUCUUCUUCACUGUGAAUAUUUUCUGGUUUAUGACAGGAAACUGAAGAUUUCUGAACUAAACAGACAUUUGAUCCACAUUUUACCUUUAAGACGUUUUAGAGACAAACAGCUGAUUGAUCAAUACAGGAAAUAAUGAAAAACGGAAACCAGAAAACUCCUGAUUCUUGAGUUGUCUCCAAAGGACAAAUAAAGUUUUUUAAAACUGAA